AGUGAACGCUGGCGGUAGGCCUAACACAUGCAAGUCGAACGGCAGCACAGUAAGAGCUUGCUCUUACGGGUGGCGAGUGGCGGACAGGUGAGGAAUACAUCGGAAUCUACUUUUUCGUGGGGGAUAACGUAGGGAAACUUACGCUCAUACCGCAUACGACCUACGGGUGAAAGCAGGGGAUCUUCGGACCUUGCGCGAUUGAAUGAGCCGAUGUCGGAUUAGCUAGUUGGCGGGGUAAAGGCCCACCAAGGCGACGAUCCGUAGCUGGUCUGAGAGGAUGAUCAGCCACACUGGAACUGAGACACGGUCCAGACUCCUACGGGAGGCAGCAGUGGGGAAUAUUGGACAAUGGGCGCAAGCCUGAUCCAGCCAUACCGCGUGGGUGAAGAAGGCCUUCGGGUUGUAAAGCCCUUUUGUUGGGAAAGAAAAGCAGCAGGUUAAUACCCCGCUGUUCUGACGGUACCCAAAGAAUAAGCACCGGCUAACUUCGUG
rnacentral:rRNA from 1 species